rnacentral:rRNA from 1 species
ACAGAGGGUGCGAGCGUUGUCCGGAAUCACUGGGCGUAAAGGGCGCGUAGGUGGCGACCCAAGUCAAUGGUGAAAGCUCGAUGCUCAACAUCGAGUCGGCCACUGAUACUGGGUUGCUCGAGCACUGUAGAGGCAGAUGGAAUUCCGGGUGUAGCGGUGGAAUGCGUAGAGAUCCGGAAGAACACCGAUGGCGAAGGCAGAUCUCUGGGCCGUAACUGACGCUGAGGAGCGAAAGCAUGGGGAGCGAACAGGA